UACAGAGGUCUCGAGCGUUGUUCGGAUUCAUUGGGCGUAAAGGGCGCGUAGGCGGCGGGGUAAGUCUGGUGUGAAAUCUCGGAGCUCAACUCCGAAAUUGCACUGGAUACUGCUCUGCUAGAGGGCUGGAGAGGAGAUCGGAAUUCACGGUGUAGCAGUGAAAUGCGUAGAUAUCGUGAGGAAGACCAGUGGCGAGGGCGGAUCUCUGGACAGCUCCUGACGCUGAGGCGCGAAGGCUAGGGGAGCAAACGGG
rnacentral:rRNA from 1 species